AUUGAACGCUGGCGGCAUGCCUUACACAUGCAAGUCGAACGGCAGCGGGGGAGAAGCUUGCUUUUCCUGCCGGCGAGUGGCGAACGGGUGAGUAAUACAUCGGAACGUGCCCUGUAGUGGGGGAUAACUAGUCGAAAGAUUAGCUAAUACCGCAUACGACCUGAGGGUGAAAGUGGGGGACCGCAAGGCCUCAUGCUAUAGGAGCGGCCGAUGUCUGAUGAGCUAGUUGGUGGGGUAAAGGCCUACCAAGGCGACGAUCAGGAGCUGGGCUGAGAGGACGAUCAGCCACACUGUGACUGAGGCACGGCCCAGACUCCUACGGGAGGCAGCAGUGGGGAAUUUUGGACAAUGGGCGAAAGCCUGAUCCAGCAAUGCCGCGUGUGUGAAGAAGGCCUUCGGGUUGUAAAGCACUUUUGUCCGGAAAGAAAUGGCUCUGGUUAAUACCUGGGGUCGAUGACGGUACCGGAAGAAUAAGGACCGGCUAACUACGUGCCAGCCGCCGCAGUAA
rnacentral:rRNA from 1 species